ensembl:lncRNA
CGUCCUUAAAAGGGCGGCCGUAGAGCAUGCUUCCUUGACAUUGGGAAACAGCCCAAAUAUACGGACUUGUUGAAGGCAAUGCAGGACCAGUAUCCCAAGGAGGCAGCUGAAGACUUCCCUCACGAUGCAAUGGCCAUUACGAAAAUCGCAGCUCACGAGCAAGCUCAAGAACAUCCGUUCUAAAUACCGAGGGGCAGUGGACACAGGGCGUCGAAGUGGCCAAGGGCGUGUGGUGAUGCUUUUUUAUGAGCUUUUCCAAGAGAUCUGGGGUGGCUCGCCCGCUACGCGCUGCAUCGAGGGAGCCAUGGAGACUGAUGACCUUUUGGAGUCGCCGGGGUGCUCGACCCCAACAAUGGAGUCGCCAUCGCCACAUUCGGAGGAAUCCAGUAACUGCCUUCCUCCUGCCGUUGUGAAACAGCGCCGACAUUUGCUCCAGGCAAAGCUCCACAGAAAGGACCGGCUGAUGAGGAAAGCUCGGCCUGACCCGGUGGCGGAAGCCGAGGAGGACCGCCAAAUGAAGAGGAGGAUGGUGGAGCUGGCUGAGGAGUCUGCAAGAAGCUACGCCGAGAGCACAUUGCAAUUAAACUCCAACAUUGCCAACAUCUGCAGCAGUAUCCAGGACGGCUUUGCCUUGAUGAGGGAAAUUAUGUACCGACCGCCACAACAGACGCAAUAUGUACCCCCCCACAGCGGACAAUACAAUAGCUACCCCUCACCAUACAUGGAAACCCCACCACGCCACACCCAACACAACGCCACACCAAUGAGUCAGUUUGCUCACACGCCAUCGCAAACACGCACCCCAGGGAAUAUACAGGAUUCAUACAGGCGAGCAUUGCUGGAGCUUGACGAUGUGGAGUGAGCACUGUGUACUUUUACUUAUGUUUGCAGUUUAAUACCUUUACUUAUGUUUGCACGAUUUACUACUUUUACUAGUUCUGUUAUAUUUUGUCUUAUGCGUGUGUCACUUUUACGUUUGCACUUCUACUUUUGCACAUUUUUGACUUGUUAUUU